AACGAACGCUGGCGGCAUGCCUAACACAUGCAAGUCGAACGAGACCUUCGGGUCUAGUGGCGCACGGGUGCGUAACGCGUGGGAACCUGCCCUUAGGUUCGGAAUAACUCCCCGAAAGGGGUGCUAAUACCGGAUAAUGUCUUCGGACCAAAGAUUUAUCGCCUUUGGAUGGGCACGCGUUGGAUUAGCUAGUUGGUAGGGUAAAAGCCUACCAAGGCGACGAUCCAUAGCUGGUCUGAGAGGAUGAUCAGCCACACUGGGACUGAGACACGGCCCAGACUCCUACGGGAGGCAGCAGUGGGGAAUAUUGGACAAUGGGCGAAAGCCUGAUCCAGCAAUGCCGCGUGAGUGAUGAAGGCCUUAGGGUUGUAAAGCUCUUUUACCCGGGAUGAUAAUGACAGUACCGGGAGAAUAAGCUCCGGCUAACUCCGUG
rnacentral:rRNA from 1 species